GGAUGAACGCUGGCGGCGUGCCUAAGACAUGCAAGUCGAGCGAACAGACGAGGAGCUUGCUCCUCUGACGUUAGCGGCGGACGGGUGAGUAACACGUGGAUAACCUACCUAUAAGACUGGGAUAACUUCGGGAAACCGGAGCUAAUACCGGAUAAUAUAUUGAACCGCAUGGUUCAAUAGUGAAAGACGGUUUUGCUGUCACUUAUAGAUGGAUCCGCGCCGCAUUAGCUAGUUGGUAAGGUAACGGCUUACUAAGGCAACGAUGCGUAGCCGACCUGAGAGGGUGAUCGGCCACACUGGAACUGAGACACGGUCCAGACUCCUACGGGAGGCAGCAGUAGGGAAUCUUCCGCAAUGGGCGAAAGCCUGACGGAGCAACGCCGCGUGAGUGAUGAAGGUCUUCGGAUCGUAAAACUCUGUUAUUAGGGAAGAACAAAUGUGUAAGUAACUAUGCACGUCUUGACGGUACCUAAUCAGAAAGCCACGGCUAACUACGUG
rnacentral:rRNA from 1 species